rnacentral:lncRNA from 1 species
GCCUGGAGUGUGGCCCAAGAUUCUGAACGUCUAACAAGGCCGUUGGGCAAUACACAUUUCAUGUCAUGAAAAGACAAUUACUCGUCUAUGAUUCCCCCAACAAUAAAUAAGAGAACCUUAGAGGGGAAACAUGUUACU